UUAAUGAAUAAUGAUUCACAAAGGCCCAAUUAGCCCAAUAAUAUCCCAAUGGCCGGCCAUUUAGUUUUGGAGUGGGUUUUGGACUUAUUUACAAGUUUGCCACUCUAAUGAAUUAAGGUAUAAAUAUGACUUUAUAGCCAAAAUUCAUUUAGGGUUUCUUUUGGAGAAAAUUGGAGAGAACAUGUCUCUCCCUUUCUCUCUAAAGAGGCCGGCCUCCUUGGAAGGUGUAGCUAGCAAUCCUACUACUCCAAGGUCACUCAUUUCUUCUCCAAUCUAAC
rnacentral:lncRNA from 1 species